CUUACCAACGUGCCCAGCUUUAUUAGUAAUAAGGUUAAUGCCUUUAAUUACAUGAUUUAGUACGGAAUUGCAUGGCUGUCGUCAGUUCGUGCUGUAGAGUUUAGGAUUAAGUUUUUUUAAACGAAUGCAACCCUAUAAGUAAGUUUUUAUAUAAUACUAUAGAUGUUAUUCAUAUAUACUUAUUUAAUCUACAAUUAAUUAUAAGGGGUUCUAUCCUCUUAUUAUUAAUUGUAGUGGUUUUAGGCUGAAGUCAAGUCCCUAUGGUCUUUAUACGUUGGGCCACACACGUGUUACAAGGGUAAAAACAAAGAGACGCAAAAAAGCAAUUUUUAGCAAACCUCUAAAAAUUACCUUAGUUCAGAUUGUUUCAUGAAAUUCUGAAGCAUGAAGAUGAAAUCGUUAGUAAUUGUAAAUUACUAUGUUACAGUGAAAUAAUAGUCAAAUUUUG
rnacentral:rRNA from 1 species